AGAAUGAACGCUGGCGGCAUGCCUAACACAUGCAAGUCGAACGAGACCUUCGGGUCUAGUGGCGCACGGGUGCGUAACGCGUGGGAAUCUGCCCUUGGGUUCGGAAUAACAGUUAGAAAUGACUGCUAAUACCGAAUGAUGUCGUAAGACCAAAGAUUUAUCGCCCAGGGAUGAGCCCGCGUAGGAUUAGCUAGUUGGUGUGGUAAAGGCGCACCAAGGCGACGAUCCUUAGCUGGUCUGAGAGGAUGAUCAGCCACACUGGGACUGAGACACGGCCCAGACUCCUACGGGAGGCAGCAGUGGGGAAUAUUGGACAAUGGGCGAAAGCCUGAUCCAGCAAUGCCGCGUGAGUGAUGAAGGCCUUAGGGUUGUAAAGCUCUUUACCCGGGAUGAUAAUGACAGUACCGGAGAAUAAGCUCCGGCUAACUCCGUGCCAGCAGCCGC
rnacentral:rRNA from 1 species